AGGGAAUCUUCCGCAAUGGACGAAAGUCUGACGGAGCAACGCCGCGUGAGUGAUGAAGGUUUUCGGAUCGUAAAACUCUGUUGUUAGGGAAGAACAAGUACCGUUCGAAUAGGGCGGCACCUUGACGGUACCUAACCAGAGAGCCACGGCUAACUACGUGCCAGCAGCCGCGGUAAUACGUAGGUGGCAAGCGUUGUCCGGAAUUAUUGGGCGUAAAGCGCGCGCAGGCGGUUUCUUAAGUCUGAUGUGAAAGCCCCCGGCUCAACCGGGGAGGGUCAUUGGAAACUGGGGAACUUGAGUGCAUAAGAGGAGAGUGGAAUUCCACGUGUAGCGGUGAAAUGCGUAGAGAUGUGGAGGAACACCAGUGGCGAAGGCGACUCUCUGGGCUGUAACUGACGCUGAGGCGCGAAAGCGUGGGGAGCAAAC
rnacentral:rRNA from 1 species